UACGUAGGGGGCUAGCGUUGUCCGGAAUCAUUGGGCGUAAAGAGCGUGUAGGCGGCCCGGUAAGUCCGCUGUAAAAGUCAAAGGCUCAACCUUUGAAUGUCAGUGGAUACUGCUGGGCUAGAGUCCGGAAGAGGCGAGUGGAAUUCCUGGUGUAGCGGUGGAAUGCGCAGAUAUCAGGAGGAACACCAACGGCGAAGGCAGCUCGCUAGGACGGUACUGACGCUGAGACGCGAAAGCGUGGGGAGCGAACAGG
rnacentral:rRNA from 1 species